rnacentral:lncRNA from 1 species
GUUUUGUAUUUCUGGGGUGUUUAGUUGUGUUGUUACAACUGGGAGGCAAGGCUUUUGCAUUGUGUUGCCAAGUUUUGUAUUUCUGGGGUGUUUAGUUGUGUUGUUAUCACAUGAUGCGUUGUUCUCUGGUUGAGUUAGUCUGCAGUGCCUUUCAUGUUCUUUUACUCUUGUUUGGGCGCUGCGUUUGGUGGUCCCUAUGUAUAUUUGUCCACAGCUGCAUGGUAUCUGGUAGACUCCUGCAGAGGAGAGAGAACCCCUCUUGUCUUUCGCUGACUGUAGCAUUUGUUGGAUUUUCUUUGUGGGUCUGUAGAUAGUUUGUAGGUUGUGCUUAUUCAUCAGUUUGCCUAUGCAGUCAGUGGUUCCCUUGAUGUAUGGUAAGAACACCUUUCCUCUGGGUGGAUCUUUGGCUUGUUCUUGGCCUUACAGCUCUUCUGAUGUCUGUGGUGGAGUAUCCAUUGGCCUGUAGAGCCCAGUUUAGGUCCACCUUGGAGGAGGUGAGGUUCGCAGAUUCUUUGUGCAUGGUCUGUCAGGGCUUUGAUUGUGCUUCUUUUUUGACUUGGGUGAUGGUUGGAGUUUUUAUGAAGGUAUCUAUCUGUGUGUGUAGGUUGUGCUUCUUCAUCAGUUUGCCUAUGCGGUCAGUGGUUCCCUUGAUGUAUGGUAAGAACACCUUUCCUCUGGGUGGAUCUUUGUCUUGACUCUCAUGGCUUGUUCUUGGCCUUACAGCUUUUCUGAUGUCUGUGGUGGAGUAUCCAUUGGCCUGUAGAGUCCAGUUUAGGUAGUUUAGUUCACCUUGGAGGAGGUGAGGUUCGCAGAUUCUUUGUGCAUGGUCUGUCAGGGCUUUGAUUGUGCUUCUUUUUUGACUUGGGUGAUGGUUGGAGUUUUUAUGAAGGUAUCUAUCUGUGUGUGUAGGUUUUCUGUAAACUGUGUGGCCCAAUUGUUGAUUGGGUUUGCAGAUGACCAAAACAUCUAGAAAUGGCAGUUUUCCUUCCUUUUCUUUUUCCAUGGUGAAUUGGAUGUUUGGGUGGUUGCUGUUAAGGUGGUCCAGGAACUUGCUGAGUUCUUCCUCUCCAUGGCUCCAAAUUGUGAAGGUGUCAUCUACGUAUCUGAACCAAACAGUUUGCUUUUUUAGUGCUGUUUCUAGGGCUUGUUUUUCAAAGUGUCCAUAUAGAAAUUUGCUACUACUGUGCUGAGGGGGCUCACCAUGGCCACUCCAGUAUGGAUUGUCGAUGUUGCAAUCCCAGGUGACAGCUAGAAAACAACUAGGUGAAACAACUAGAAAAGCUGGCAUGAUAUGAGGAUUUAAAGAUCGAAUUGCAAAGACUGUGGCACAAGCCAGUCAAGGUGGUCCCAGUGGUGAUCGGCACACUGGGUGCAGUGCCUAAAGACCUUGGCUUGCACUUGAACACAAUCGGCGCUGACAAAAUUACCAACUGCCAGCUGCAGAAAGCCACCUUACUGGGAUAUGCACGCAUCAUUCGCCGAUACAUCACACAGUCCUAGACACUUGGGAAGUGUUCGGUGUGCGAUCCAGUACAACAGCCAGCAGAGUGUCUGCUGUGAACUCAUCUUGUUGUGUUUCAAAUAAUAAUAAUCAUCAUCAUCAUCUUUAUAUGUAUCCCGCUUUUCUCCCUAAACAGGACCCAAAGCGGCUCACAGCAUUGUGUAAAAGACAAUAUAAAGCAAUAUACACAUAUAAAGCAACAACCUAUAAAAACAAUUGUACAAUCAGAAAUAAACAUAUUUGAAAACAUUUAUCUAAUAUAGUUAUUGCAAGCUACUCAACAAGACAGAUGGUAAAAUUAACACGACUCAAUAAAAGUUAGUCUUCCUGUCAUUACAGCUAAGUGUCUUCAUCAAAAGCUUGCACAAACAGGAAGGUUUUUAGCUGCUUUCUAAAACAAGUCAGGGAGGGGGUUGUUUUAACCUCCUUGGGGAGGGAGUUCCAAAGAGUUGGAGCAACCACCGAGAAGGCCCUCUCUCUCAUUGCUGCCAACCG